CAUAUCAAUCUUCGAUGCCAUUUACCCCACCUACCAUGGUGACCACGGGUAACGGGGAAUCAGGGUUCGAUUUCG